GGUUCCAUAGUGUAGUGGUUAGCAUGUCUGCUUUACAAGCAGAAGGUCCUGGGUUCGCGUCCCAGUGGAGCAA
rfam:Pteropus alecto contig106096, whole genome shotgun sequence.